rnacentral:rRNA from 1 species
GACAGAGGGUGCAAACGUUGUUCGGAAUUACUGGGCGUAAAGGGCUCGUAGGCGGCCAACUAAGUCGGAUGUGAAAUCCCCAGGCUUAACCUGGGAACUGCUUCCGAUACUGGAUGGCUUGAAUCCGGGAGAGGGAUGCAGAAUUCCAGGUGUAGCGGUGAAAUGCGUAGAUAUCUGGAGGAAUACCGGUGGCGAAGGCGGCAUCCUGGACCGGCAUUGACGCUGAGUGAGCGAAAGCCAGGGGAGCAAACGGG